GUAAUGUAAUUUUUACACUAGUGUGUUGAUAUUUAAGACGAUUGGAUGUUCAUUGAGUACUCCCAAAACACUAAUACAAGGUUAUUAAUUAAUAAAAAUGAGGCAUCUUUUGUGUAAAAGAAAUAUGGAUAAUUCCCUCCAAUCGCUUCCUACAAAAAAAACCAUUUUACGGUUUUUAGUAUUUUCUAAUUUGGGGUGCGUAAUACCUAAAAAACAUUAAAAAAAAUGCUAGCACGAAACAAGGCCUGAAGAUGGAGCCUUCCAUCGUGAGCCUAGGGAACCUAUGAGAGAGAACCUGAUCUUUUGAAAACCUGUUGGAGAACGGCACGAUUUUUUUCAAAAAAAUCUUAUCUCUCCUGUAUCUCUAAAAAUUAGUUUUGGGGAACAUGUUUGAAACAACCACUCUAGAUAUGCUCUCAGGUCAAUGCCAUUUUUAGAGAUACAAGACCGGGCCGAAGGGGAGAAGCUGUGUUUGCGAGGCUCAAGGCGUACGUGUAUUAUUUGCUAGAUAGAUGUCGGCAUCCAUUCUGCAGUACUCCGGUUGCAGCCUGGGAGAGAUGCGGUUCACCGGUGGACAACGCCAGCGCUGCUGACCAAUCACGCGCAUACACACACGC
rnacentral:lncRNA from 1 species